rnacentral:lncRNA from 1 species
GGUGUUGCACAGACGCGGUCGCAAGGCACGCGAAGCAACUGUUUUCUUUUCCAGUGGCAACGCUGCCUCUUAUAAAUCUGCCAUGUCGCCAUGUAUCCCUGCAAUAUUAUCCUUUUUCGCAAUUACAAGCAUUCUGAUGGCCAACGACGCGCAUGGAAAUGGCAUACUGAAAUACUGCAACCAGACCUGUAAUCCUGGGGAGAGUAACAAGCGUCCUCCCUGUCCAGAAGGGUGUCAAUGCGCUGUGCAGAACGCGAACAAACCGACUUCAAAUUGGUACUGUUGGAAAUUAUGAAUUCAUGGGCAACCACUGAUUUCAACUUCGAAUGCACAAUAUAAAAAUAUCUCUCUGGUUUAAUAAAAAAAUAUGUAGCUAUACACAACGCUU